GAGGGUGUUACAAAAUUUAAUAAAAUGUAUAUGGAUGCUCUGUUAGACUGAUAUAUGGUAUAAGCAGGGAAUCUAUUUUGGAUGGUCAUCCAAAUGACAAUAUAUAGAUGAUGAAAUUUGGAUGUGCUGUUAGGAAUAAUCUAAGCAGCAUAGAAGAUAGUGAACCAUAAGUAUUAAUAGGAUGCAUCUUGUCAAAUUUACUGUCAUAUUAAUUCAUCAUACAAUUACUUCAAAAAACACAUCUGCUAGACCGUGUAAGUGAUC
rnacentral:lncRNA from 1 species